CAUUAUCGAAUCGCUUCGAGAGAGAAGGGAGGAAAGGAUCAGAGUGUGUAGUGUAGAGGACUGUUGCUGGCGACCAUGAAUCGCAUGUGCACGUCCUCACUUUCUCUUUCCUAGUACUUCUUUCUCUGUCAUGCUUUUCAUACACACACCUGUGCACCUAUUGUAGUCCUUUUGAAAUAUAGAGGAUCUACGUCUUUCUUUCAUCACACAUCGCAUGUCCAUAGAAUGUAACAAUGUUGUACAACUUUCAGCAACGGAUCUCUUGGCUCUCGCAUCGAUGAAGAACGCAGCGAAUUGCGAUAAGUAAUGUGAAUUGCAGAUUUCCAGUGAAUCAUCGAAUCUUUGAACGCACCUUGCGCUCCUUGGUAUUCCGAGGAGCAUGCCUGUUUGAGUGUCAUCGAAUUCUCAACCACUUCUUGAUUUCCUUGUCAAGAGGAAUGGCUUGGAAUUGGGGGUUGUUGGCAGACCUUGAGACUGUCGACUCCCCUGAAAUGUAUUAGCGAUGCUAGUCUUCUUGGAUGUGCACGGCCUCCGAUGUGAUAAUGAUCGUCGUGGCUGGAGCAUCCCUUGACUUAUGGCUUCAUUGCUUCUAAUCUGACUCGAAAGGACUUAUGUUGCUAGUUAGUCUUUAGCUUAGCUACUAGGCAGCCCGUGAGGCUGGCCGAACACAAGCUAUAAUAUAAUCAUAAUCUAGUCAAAACAUGGACAUCCUUUCGUUCACUCAGAGACUUGACCUCAAAUCAGGUAGGACUACCCGCUGAACUUAAGCAUAUCAAUAAGCGGAGGAAAAG
rnacentral:rRNA from 1 species